rnacentral:lncRNA from 1 species
AAGUAUACAUACUUACAAGACAUUUAUUGUAUAGUCAAACCAUGGAUCCAAAGAAACAAGUCAAUAAGUCAAAUCAAGAUGUGCAUGUGUGGCGAAUGAAUGGUGUAUGGUGAUGAUGGUGAUAACAAUGGUGAAAGUCUAAUUCUACUUGUGCUAUUUUGAGGGGAUACAUACCUUUCUUGCUCUUUUGAAACUUUUGAGGGGAAUGAGAUUAAUUAGACUUUCACCAUUAUUAUCUUGUUCUUUCCUCUCAGGUGGGUAUCUUGUACCCCUAAUUCCACUGUCAGACACUUGUCCAUUUUUACCUCGCGUCUCACUUUUUCUUUUCUUUCGAGGUUCUGGGCACUUGCCCCUUUUUAUUUUCUCGUAUCUUUUCUUUCUUCUUCUUUUUUUAGAGCACUCAUCUCUUGAAAUAAUGUAGCAAGUGGUAGUAACCAAGAUAACUUAAGCGUUUAUUUCACAGGGGAAAAACAUAAAUGUUUUUUGGGUAUUCUCUCCCGGAUUAGGAGUAUAAUAUUUUUGGGUGGUUGUCAAGAUGGAAAUGAGUAGAUAUAUGUGGAUGCGUACUUCCGGAGUAGAAGCAGCAUGUAUAAGUGAAGGUGCAAGUGAAUCUUGAUUUAACCACAUGACAAGCUCCUAAGGGUCUACACAGCUUGACCACACUCAAUGUUCAUAAGCAAUAAAAAGUAAAUGUGUGGCUCAAAGUCUAACAAGCAUGUAUAUGUGGCUGUGGUUUGAAUUUAAACUCUCAUCAUAUAGGAACUCAUCAUGUGAUAUUUUAAAGAUUUUCAAAGAUAAAAUUCUCCAAAAUUCUAGCAUCUCUAGGAACAGAUAAACAGCACCUCAACCUUCCCAUAUCAUAUCCAUUAACAACUUAGACUUUAAAUUAUAACAGUUAUGUCUAAACUAGAGAGAGAACUCAAAUUUUAAAAAUUAGGCAGAGCAACUAUUCAUCAUAUCCAUGCUAGAGUUUUAUUAUUAAGAUUCAGUUUAGC